UACGUGGGGGGCAAGCGUUGUUCGGAAUUACUGGGCGUAAAGGGCUCGUAGGUGGCCAACUAAGUCAGACGUGAAAUCCCUCGGCUUAACCGGGGAACUGCGUCUGAUACUGGAUGGCUUGAGUUUGGGAGAGGGAUGCGGAAUUCCAGGUGUAGCGGUGAAAUGCGUAGAGAUCGGGAGGAACACCAGAGGCGAAGGCGGCGACCUGGACAGGCACUGACACUCAACUACGAAAGCGUGGGGAGCAAACAGG
rnacentral:rRNA from 1 species